rnacentral:tRNA from 1 species
GGGGCGUGGUCUAGCUUGGUUAAGACGCCGGCCUUGGGAGCCGGAGAUCCUGGGUUCGAAUCCCAGCGCCCCCA